GACGAACGCUGGCGGCGUGCUUAACACAUGCAAGUCGAACGAGGUCCACCGCGUAGCAAUACAAGGGAAGACCUAGUGGCGAACGGGUGCGUAACACGUGAGGAACUUGUCCCGGUCUCUGGGAUAACAGUUGGAAACGACUGCUAAUACCAGAUGACGUCGGAAUCUCGCAUGGGAUACUGACGAAAGGGUUACUGGAUCGGGAGAGCCUCGCGGCCUAUCAGCUUGUUGGUGAGGUAACGGCUCACCAAGGCGUCGACGGGUAGCUGGUCUGAGAGGAUGAUCAGCCACACUGGGACUGAGACACGGCCCAGACUCCUACGGGAGGCAGCAGUGGGGAAGUCUUGCGCAAUAGGGCGGAAAGACCUCGACGCAGCAACGACCGCCGUGCGGGAAGG
rnacentral:rRNA from 1 species